ACGUCGCCUGUUUUUCAAAAACAUCACCUCUAGCAUUACAAGUAUUAGAGGCACUGCCUGCCCAGUGACACACGUUAAACGGCCGCGGUAUCCUGACCGUGCAAAGGUAGCAUAAUCACUUGUUCCUUAAUUAGGGACUUGCAUGAAAGGCAAGACGAGGGCUUAACUGUCUCUUACUUCCAAUCAGUGAAAUUGACCUACCCGUGAAGAGGCGGGUAUAAAUAAAUAAGACGAGAAGACCCUGUGGAGCUUUAAUUAAUUAUCCUACCUACCAAGACUAUGAACCUACUGGAUUAAUAAACAUAAAGAGCUAGGAGAAAAAUUUCGGUUGGGGUGACCUCGGAGCAUAAAAAAACCUCCGAAUGACUUAACUCUAGGCUUACUAGCCUAAAGAUGCCCAAGCAGUCAACAAUUGAUCCAAAAAUAAAAUUGAUCAACGGACCAAGUUACCCUAGGGAUAACAGCGCAAUCCUAUUUAAGAGUCCCUAUCGACAAUAGGGUUUACGACCUCGAUGUUGGAUCAGGACACCCAAAUGGUGCAACCGCUAUUAAUGGUUCGUUUGUUCAACGAUUAAAGUCCUACGUGAUCUG
rnacentral:rRNA from 1 species